rnacentral:lncRNA from 1 species
UCUUUGUGUCUGGGCGUGUCUUCCUACAGCCCAAUGGGUGGAGCUAUGCUCACCUGUUCCUUUGUUAUAUUACCCCUUAUCCUGUUUAGGAUAGAAUGUUCCAUGGAAGUGCCUUGUGUAUGUCCCCUUCUCUUACUGUGCCCUUGGGUGUGGCCUACCUAGAUGUCAACCUGCUGACAGUGGACAUCAUGAAGAUAGACUCAGCCCCUUGAAACCUGACCCUUUGCCUCUUUUGAAUAGCUUCUCCUCAAUAAAAGGGGUCAGUGCAUUCUCUCUCUCUCUCUCUCUCUCUCUCUCUCUCUCUCUCUCUUCCUGCGGACCCUUAAGGUCAGUGGAGCCAUCACAGCGACCCCAAAGAAAAAGGUAUUUGUGCAGCCCAGUUAGCCCAGUUUACCUGGAGUGAUCCCUGAGCCUUUUAGUCCUGAGAACAGAAACCUGGCAGAGAAGACUGACAGUUAUAAUACGAAGUGAAAAGAAUUAGAGAUGUAAGUUGAGAAAGGUGCACUUUUUUGUUUAAUCAUUGUCUUUUGAAAAUGACCUUAUGUUUGGUUUAAAUUUCUUUUGAAGAACUCCCAUCAGUGACACUUCCCCCUUAUUCCCAAAUUCUGGGUAUUGCCUGAGGUUUGAUUUUAAGCCUGGUUUACUUUUUCCCUAGGUCUCAUCUGCUGUUGUGCUUAAAAAAUUCAAGAAAUACUUGCUGAGUGCUUAGGUAGAAAGAAUGGUCUAAAUACAGAUAAUGCCACAAAUUGUCUCUUGUCUGAUCCCCAAACUCCCAAGUCCACAUGAAAAGGAACUCCAGAGUUGUGUUGCAGAGUUGGAUCUCAUCAUCAGAGAACCAUUACCCAACUUGGUAGAUAAUUAAGCAGGAAUACAAUAGGCUUCAUGCAUUAAAUAGUACUUUUGAAAUCAAAUUAGUUCCAAGAACUUCCAACUACCUACAGAAUAUUUUCUUAAAAAUUGAAAAUGCCACAAUUCCCACAACAAAAUAAAAUACAAAACAAUCUCUUUACAUACCCUCUUGGAAUUCUCUGCUAAUGGCACCACUAUUUAUUUCUAGUCUCC